UUUUUUUUUUGUAUUUUUAAAAAAUUACAGUUGAUUUACAAUGUUGUGCCAGUGCAGUCACUUUCAACUGGCCCCAACCACUGCUACCCCCAGCUCCAGGCAACCACCAAUUGCCUAUUCUAGAUGACCACACUAUGUGGCCUUUCUCAUCCUACCACUUUUGGCUGGCAUAAUAUUUUUAGGACUCAUCCAUGUUGUAGUGUGUAUUAGUAUUUCACUCCUUUUCAUGGCCGCAUAAUAUGCCAUUAUGUGGACAUACCACAUUUUGUUUAUUCAUCUGUCCAUUAACAGACAUCUUGGGUUGUCUCUACUUCUUGGCCAUUGUGUAUAAAGCUGCUGCUAUGAACAUUUGUGUACAAAUUUUUGCACAGACAUAUGUUUUCAAGUUUCUUGUGUACAUGCCUAAAAGUAGAAUUGUUGGGUCAUGUGGCAAUUCUAGGUUUGAACACAUAAGGAACUGACAGGCUUUUUUCCAAAGUAUUUACAUUUCCACUAGCAGUGUAUGAGUGUUCAAUUUCUCCUCAUCUUAGUUAACACUGACUAUUAUCUGUCUUUUUAAAUUAUAGUCAUGCUUGUGGAAACACUGUAUUUUGAGGCAGUUCAUCUAUAACAUCCACUGAAUUGGAUGUUGGCAGACAUUGCAUAUUUUAUAAACCAAAAAAGAAACAUUUUAUAGAUUGGUAACAGUCAUUAUAAAAGUAGGAUUAAAUAGUCCAAACCCAAAAGCGAAACAAUUUAAAAUAAAAAGUAGAAGUUAAAAAAAAUUAAAAAUGAAACAAGUACAUUUCAAGAGGAAUGACCACAACAUGAACUCCUGUGACCACAGAUCUGUCACUUUUUUGGUACAUCAGUCCGUAGCUAACCUACUAAUCAGAGCUCAAGAAAGUUGUGCCCUUUUUGGAGAGGUACAAGCACAUCUGCUGGCUUAUUCUAACCAUCAGAAAUCAGACAAUAAAUCCCAUUAGUAGUGGAUGAAGCAUUUUAUCAGCAACAAAGAUUAACUGCAAAAUUAAUGCUGCAAAGCCUCUAUUUUUGGAAUAUUGAAAAAACUGAAUUAAACAACAGAAAUUAAUCAUAAGUGAAAAAAAAAGAAAUUAAGCAUAAGCGAAUGCACUAUACACAGCACAAAAAUGUUAAUGAACGGGAAGGAAGAUGUCACAAGAAGGAAAAGUCUGAACUAUGUUUUACAAAACGACAAAGCGGGCACUUAGGAAAACAGUGACUUAUAUUAGUCAGAUGCUCAGACCUUUGCUAACUCUAAAUACAUCUCUGAAAACUUCACCCCACUCUAUCCCAAGAGCACUUCAUAUGUUUGCUUGUAAUACAUAAAUGGCAGAAAACUUUUAUUUAUAUUUUUAAAGCACACGUAAACCAGUAGAGGUGCACCAACAAGGCAACAGAAAAAACCAUAAAGGAUAAAUAUGGCUUCUAAAAUAACGACUCCAAGUCUCAUUCAUAAUUCUAGUGGUAUGCAUUAAAAUAAUAAUGACAUAAUAGUUAUUUAGAAAUUGAAAAUACAAACAUAUUUUUCUGUUGACGUUUCUAACGCAUGAACUGUCUCAGACACAAACUCCCAUUAGUUUGCAGAAAGGUUGUCUUUAAAGAAACUCAAUUCCUUCAUCUACAGUCAUUUUCUCCCGAUCUUGUCUUAGCUCUUAGAUAAAAAAGGCCCAAGAGCUCACAAAACAUAGGCAUAUUCCCAUACCAAUUUAGACUUGUAAGACUUUCACAGAACAUAGCAUCAAACUUUGUUAUAAAGAACUACAAUUUUGGAGUUCCCAUUGUAGCUCAGUGACUAGCAUCCAUGAGGAUGCAGGUUCCAUCCCUGGCCUCCCUCAGUGGGUUAAGAAUCCAGUGUUGCCAUGAGCUGUGGUGUAGGUCGCAGAUGAGGCUUGGAUCCUGCAUUGCUGCAGCUCUGGCAUAGGCCAUCAGCUACAGCUCCAAUUCGACCCUAGUCUGGGAACCUCCAUAUGAUGCAGGUGCAGCUCUAAAAAGACCAAAAAAAAAAAAAAAAGAAUUAAAAUUUCAACAAGAACUAACUAGAAUUUUACCACUCCCAGUCUGUUUUAUUCUUCUUUUCUUUCUCCACAUAAGUGCCUGAGCAACAGGAUUUGGAGAAAGUCUUUUGACUAUAAACCUUUGGUAGCUUAUGAAUUGUGGAAUAUCCUGACCGUAAUACCUAACGAAAAUUAUUUAACCUGUAGCUAGAUAAGGAAUGAUGGCUGUCCUUGAGUGGUUUCAAUGAGUAUUCUUUUAGGAAUUACAAGAUUCUAAUUACCAUAUAUCUAUAUUCUUUUCAGCUGGUUCAUUUAAAAAUUGAUCAGAGACAAAAACUAUUUUUGAAAAGUCUAUUUUGCAAAAACGUAUGCCUUUUUCCUUAUAUAAUCUAUUUUACUUAUACAGAAUGCUUCCUUUUUUCUCUUUAUUAAACAGAAAAUCAAUGCGCCAAGUUUCUACUCUCUGUUCAGACUCUACUUGAACAGCAAACAAUUCAAGAUACACAGAUGAUAAAUCUUGACAGAAUUUUUUCAGUGAACAUUGGUCACUCGCUCGACAGAAUAAAAUUUUUGAUUGUGCUUUUUUCGUUAAAAGUCUUCAUUGGUUCUCCUUAAGCCUGAAAAUAAAAUCGUGUUAAGCUACCCUCCCCCCUUCUCUCUGCCUAUUCUAACCUAUUCUCGACAGGUGCUACUGGUGAACUUUCACCCUAUUUUUGGUCUAUUGUGCCUUAUUAAAUCUGAACCGCAUGUGCAGUCAAAGAAAAAGUGAUAUCCUUUUAGUCAUUUUAAACUACUGUUUCCUGAUAUUCCAUAUAUAAGUCAUAUUUCAGCGGGUUUUUUUCCCCCCUGCCAUCUCACGAGUCUGUGUGUUAAAAUUCAGGAAUAUAUUUUUGGAACAGUUUGGUGUAGUUUAGUGGUUUUCAGGAAGCAAAUUUAAGGGAUUUCUUGUUUCUUUUCCCUCCUAGCCAGGCAGGAGCAAGGAGACAGGAUGGUGAAAGCUGGGGAAGGUAUGAUGGCACAGCGGUGGCAGAAUGUGGUCACCAAGGGCCACAGGACGCUGCAGGGACCUGGGGGAGGGGGUCCACACUGUUGUUUCAUGAGGCCUCAGUGAUGCCCUUUGGAGUAAAAAGAACGUGGUUGCCCAGAACACAACUGUCCUACAUCCGUGCAUGGGGUGGGUGGUUAUAGGAGUGACCCUGGCGGACACAUAGGCUCACAGAUAAGGUUGUCUACACCUGCCCACUUCUCUGUGAAUAUACGUUCUCAGGGGCCUGGAGGAAAUCCAAGAUCAUCUGAGGGCUCCUUCGUGGAGAAAGAAGUCCAGAUCCCAGUUUAUAUGCAAAAACACGAAACACGUGUCUUACUCUCCCAAACAGGGCAUGGGAUUCUAACUCCUUCUUUCUCUUUUCCCCUCUAGUGGACAUCGGUUGAGCUCCAGACAGCUUGAGUGCUCCUAAGCCAUGAAGCUUCCAGGGCACUCACAAUUUCAAAUUCUCUGUUUCCAAUUUUGGACAAUGAGUUCUGAAUUUCAGUUCUGAAUUUCAGUUCUGGAGAUGCAGUUAGAGGAUACCUGUUGACCUUGGCCAAUCCCUUCAUAUUUCUCUCUUGGGAGCUCCCUUGAAUAAGGGGGGUCUUGAGGACACCUGCUGCCUGGUGGAGACAUCAGAUUGAGAAGCACACAGCGAGUGCCUUGCCUCCCACCCUGAAAGCCCCCAGACCUGCUGGCCAGCUGAGCUCUCGGCCUUCGCAGUGAGCUCUACAACCUGGAAUCCACGGUGGGCACUGUUAAACCAUCAUUGCCUCUGACUUCUGGAGAAUAAUACUGAGCAAUUCUGUUCAAACACCUUCCAAGACCAGACUAAAAGUCUUGAGUUUAAAGGGAUGGUCAGACUUAUGGUGGACAGGAAACGUCAUAACCCAUAAAGGGCAUUCACAUUCAAAGGAAGAAUUUUAGAAAUUGUGCUUGCCAAAUGAAAUACAUGCUGCCAGAUUCCAGCUCCUGGUUUGGGGGGUUGGGGGUCCACAGCAGCGUCAGAGGCAAGAAAGGACCUGGGGUAAAAUUCCACAAGCUUUCAUGAAUACACCCUAUGCCGAAUUCUUGGAAAAGCAGCUUCUUCCAAGAUGAGGUUAGAGUUUGUGCCUUCGGCUCCGUGCUGUUUCUUCUGCACAUCUCCACGGGCAACCUGCAUCUCUCUGCAGGGCCCUCUUCAAGGCGUCCGAAAACAGACCACUGCAGCCAAUUCACUUAAUGUUCUCUCUGUUCUCCUAAUACCACAUAAUGAAUAGACAACCUUCUGGAAAAUGGGGCUUUUGGCGUUUUUUUUUUUAAAACCCCGGUGUCUGGUUAACCCCAAUCCUUUUCUGUCCACGUGUUCCCUAAUGUUCAGACCCUUUCUGCUAAACUUGCAGUGACGGAUGACAUGCCCAUCUUGCCGCCUCCCCAGAGGAAGCAAAAACUUGCUGCUUUUAUUGAUCCAGGAGCCCUUCAAGAGUCACCACAUGCUCCUGGAAGCUUCUGUCCGAGGGAGGAACAUUCACUCUGACAACCCUGUGCAGACAGAAGCUCACUUCGGGCAGCUGUCCAGCCAUCCCUGCCUCUUGACAGCAGGGAGAGACGGGCCCCCACUGCUCAGUGCCAGUGGGAUUUUCGGGAGUCCUGGCCGCCACGAAGAGAGAAACGGCCUGGACUCAGCAAGGGUAGGGGCUGGCUGGCCAAAGCUGGCAGGGUCAACAGCUCAGCAAAGGAUCAAGCAGCUGACAGUGAAGGAGGACUAUGGGUGGCAACAAGCAAAAAAAAAAAAAAAAAAAAAAAAAAAAAAA
rnacentral:lncRNA from 1 species